rnacentral:rRNA from 1 species
UACAGAGGUCCCGAGCGUUGUUCGGAUUCAUUGGGCGUAAAGCGUGCGCAGGCGGUCUGCUAAGAGAGGUGUGAAAUCCCCGGGCUUAACCUGGGAACUGCGCUUCUAACUGGCAGGCUUGAGUGUGGCAGAGGGGGGUGGAAUUCCACGUGUAGCAGUGAAAUGCGUAGAGAUGUGGAGUAACACCGAUGGCGAAGGCAGCCCCCUGGGCUAACACUGACGCUCAUGCACGAAAGCGUGGGGAGCAAACAGG